rnacentral:rRNA from 1 species
UACGUAGGGUGCAAGCGUUGGUCCGGAAUUAUUGGGCGUAAAGAGCUCGUAGGCGGCCUGUCGCGUCGACUGUGAAAACCCAGGGCUCAACCCUGGGCCCUGCAGUCGAAUACGGGCAGGCUAGAGUGCAGUAGGGGAGACUGGAAUUCCUGGUGUAGCGGUGAAAUGCGCAGAUAUAGGAGGAACACCGGUGGCGAAGGCGGGUCUCUGGGCUGUAACUGACGCUGAGGAGCGAAAGCGUGGGGAGCGAACAGG